rnacentral:rRNA from 1 species
UAGGGAAUCUUCCGCAAUGGACGAAAGUCUGACGGAGCAACGCCGCGUGAGUGAAGAAGGAUUUCGGUUCGUAAAACUCUGUUGUUAGGGAAGAAAAAAUGUAUAGUAACUAUAUACAAAAGAGACGGUACCUAACCAGAAAGCCACGGCUAACUACGUGCCAGCAGCCGCGGUAAUACGUAGGUGGCAAGCGUUGUCCGGAAUUAUUGGGCGUAAAGCGCGCGCAGGUGGUUUAGAAAGUCUGAUGUGAAAGCCCACGGCUCAACCGUGGAGGGUCAUUGGAAACUAAUAAACGUGGGUGCAGGAGAGAAAAGUGGAAUUCCUAGUGUAGCGGUGAAAUGCGUAGAGAUUAGGAGGAACACCGGUGGCGAAAGCGGCUUUUUGGCCUGCAACUGACACUGAGGCGCGAAAGCGUGGGGAGCAAACAGG